rnacentral:rRNA from 1 species
UACGAAGGGUGCAACCGUUGCUCGGAAGUAUUGGGCGUAAAGCGCACGUAGGCGGCUAUCUAAGGCGGAUGGGAAAUCCCUCGGCUUAACCAAGGAAGUGCACCCGAAACUGGAUAGCUUGAGUACAGAAGAGGAUCGCGGAAUUCCCGGUGUAGAGGUGAAAUUCGUAGAUAUCGGGAGGAACACCAGUGGCGAAGGCGGCGAUCUGGGCUGAUACUGACGCUGAGGUGCGAAAGCCAGGGGAGCAAACGGG